rnacentral:rRNA from 1 species
GGGCCCGCACAAGCGGUGGAGCAUGUGGUUUAAUUCGAAGCAACGCGAAGAACCUUACCAAGAAUUGACAUCCUCUGGACCGGUAUGGAAACAUACCUUCCCUUCGGGGCUGGAGAGACAGGUGGUGCAUGGUUGUCGUCAGCUCGUGUCGUGAGAUGUUGGGUUAAGUCCCGCAACGAGCGCAACCCUUAUGUUUAGUAGCCAGCGGUUCGGCCGGGCACACUAGAGAGACUGCCGUGGACAACACGGAGGAAGGCGGGGACGACGUCAAAUCAUCAUGCCCCUUAUAACUUGGGCUACACACGUGCUACAAUGGCUGCAACAAAGUGACGCAAGCCGGCGACGGUAAGCAAAACACAAAAAGCAGUCUCAGUUCGGAUUGUAGUCUGCAACUCGACUACAUGAAGUUGGAAUCGCUAGUAAUCGCAAAUCAGCAUGUUG